rnacentral:rRNA from 1 species
AGUCAAUAGAUACCCGGGUAGUCCACGCCCUAAACGAUGUCUACUAGUUGUUGGUGGAGUAAAAUCCAUUAGUAAACGCAGCUAAACGCGUGAAGUAGACCGCCUGGGGAGUACGGUCGCAAGAUUAAAACUCAAAGGAAUUGACGGGGGCCCGCACAAGCGGUGGAUUAUGUGGAUUAAUUCGAUGCAACGCGAAAAACCUUACCUGGCCUUGACAUGCCACUAACGAAGCAGAGAUGCAUUAGGUGCCCGAAAGGGAAAGUGGACACAGGUGCUGCAUGGCUGUCGUCAACUCGUGUCGUGAGAUGUUGGGUUAAGUCCCGCAACGAGCGCAACCCUUGCCAAUAAUUGCCAUCAUUUAGUUGGGCACUUUAUUGGGACUGCCGGUGACAAACCGGAGGAAGGUGGGGAUGACGUCAAGUCCUCAUGGCCCUUAUGGCCAGGGCUUCACACGUAAUACAAUGGUCGGUACAGAGGGUUGCCAACCCGCGAGGGGAGCCAAUCCCAGAAAGCCGAUCGUAGUCCGGAUUGUAGUCUGCAACUCGACUAC